UCAUCGAUCUUUGACGCAAAUGGCGCUCUUGGGUUUUCCCAGGAGCAUGUCUGUCUGAGUGUCN
rfam:Nematostella vectensis strain CH2 x CH6 NEMVEscaffold_6798_Cont51944, whole genome shotgun sequence.